UCUGCGAUAGUAUAAUGGUUCAGUAUUCCCGCCUGUCACGCGGACGAUCCGGGUUCGAUUCCCGAUCGCAGAG